CCUACGGGUGGCAGCAGUGGGGAAUAUUGCUCAAUGGCCGGAACGCUGAACCAGCCAAGCCGCGUGAAGGACGAAGGUGCCCGGCAUUUUAAACUUCUUUUGUCAGGGGACAAAAUCCGGCUCGUGAGCCUGACCGAGGGGCCUUGAAGAAAACGCAUCGGCUAACUCCGUGCCAGCAGCCGCGGUAAUACGGAUGUUCCGAGCGUUAUCCGGGUUUAUUGGGUUUAAAGGGACCGUAGAUGGGUUGUUAAGUCAGUUGUGAAAGUUUGCGGCUCAAACGUAAAAUUGCAAUUGCUACUGGCAGUCGUGAGUACAGUUGAGGUAGGCGGAAAUCGUGGUGUAGCGGUGAAAUGCUUAGAGAUCACGAAGAACUCCGAGUGCGAAGGCAGCUUACUAAACUGCCACUGACAGUGAUGCUCGAAAGUGGGGGUAUCAAACAGGAAUAGAUAACCGGGGAGGC
rnacentral:rRNA from 1 species